rnacentral:rRNA from 1 species
UUUUAAGUUCUCUAUUAUGGAGAGUUUGAUCCUGGCUCAGGACGAACGCUGGCGGCGUGCCUAAUACAUGCAAGUCGAGCGGAUGAUG